CAAUAGCGUAUAUUAAAGUUGUUGCAGUUAAAAAGCUCGUAGUUGGAUUUCUGGUCUUUGGAUGCCUGGUUUUGCCUUAUAUGGCAUUGUGCCGGUGCGUCCAGGCCUUUCUUCUGGAGAUUGCCUCUUCUUUUAACCGAGCGGGGGUAGGAUCCAGAUCUAUUACUUUGAAAAAAUUAGAGUGUUCAAAGCAGGCAUUUCUGCGCAUGAAUACAUUAGCAUGGAAUAAUAAAAUAAGACUUCGGUUUUAUUUUGUUGGUAUGAAAUCGAAGUAAUGAUUGAUAGGGAUAGUUGGGGGUGCUAGUAUUGAACGGCCAGAGGUGAAAUUCUCAGAUUCGUUCAAGACUAACUUAUGCGAAAGCAUUCACCAAGGAUGUCUUCUUUAA
rnacentral:rRNA from 1 species